GGAAGCGCUAAAAGACAAAAGGCGAAGGUAUGCGCCCAUUCUACACUUUUCAACCGUGAAAAAGCAGCGUGGGAAAGAUGCCCUGAGCACAUAACGGUGUCACGAGAAAGACUCUGAGAAAGAAGGAUGAAAUACAGUGAAGGGGAGAAGAGACAGAUUAUAUUUAAGUGCAGUUUCUAUGUGGGUGGCCGGGACUGAAGGCAGACACAGUGGGAUGUGGUGACGCACCUCAGAGAAGAUUUUACUUUAAAUAAAGAAACAUAAGCAUAAGGGUGGCACUGACGUCAAUGAGAUGCCUGAGAUGUGUGUGUUUCUGUCUGGACUGCCAAGGUCACUCUCUGAAUGGGGGUUUGCACGUGUGUGUCGCCGGAAGUGCGCUGUGCGUAGGUGACUAACAGAGUUGUGUUAACCUGUGGUGUGUGUGAAACCCUUACAAACACAACUUCGUGGACUGAGACUAUACAUUAACGUCACUGGAUGUGACGCCACAGAAUAAUCGAUAUCUUAACUAUUAAUGCACAGUGUUUCCUGGGAGUAAUUUCAAAGAGUUUUUUAUGAGGUCAGUGUUCAAUUGAAAAUGCCUGACCUUGUAGGCUACCAGAAUUUAGUU